GGGAUGAACUUAGGAUCCCUACGUAUGGGAGUGUUAAUAGCUGUGCUUUUGGCCGAGUGCAGUGGUUAGUGAAUC
rnacentral:ncRNA from 1 species